CUACGGGAGGCAGCAGUGGGGAAUAUUGCACAAUGGGCGCAAGCCUGAUGCAGCCAUGCCGCGUGUAUGAAGAAGGCCUUCGGGUUGUAAAGUACUUUCAGCGGGGAGGAAGGGAGUAAAGUUAAUACCUUUGCUCAUUGACGUUACCCGCAGAAGAAGCACCGGCUAACUCCGUGCCAGCAGCCGCGGUAAUACGGAGGGUGCAAGCGUUAAUCGGAAUUACUGGGCGUAAAGCGCACGCAGGCGGUUUGUUAAGUCAGAUGUGAAAUCCCCGGGCUCAACCUGGGAACUGCAUCUGAUACUGGCAAGCUUGAGUCUCGUAGAGGGGGGUAGAAUUCCAGGUGUAGCGGUGAGAUGCGUAGAGAUCUGGAGGAAUACCGGUGGCGAAGGCGGCCCCCUGGACGAAGACUGACGCUCAGGUGCGAAAGCGUGGGGAGCAAACAGGAUUAGAUACCCCCGUAGUA
rnacentral:rRNA from 1 species